rnacentral:tRNA from 1 species
GCUGGCGUAGCUCAGUUGGCCAGAGCAGCCGCCUUGUAAGCGGCAGGUCAUGGGUUCGAGUCCCAUCGCCAGCUCGA